GGCGGUGUAGCUCAGUGGUAGAGCGCGCGGCUCAUAACCGCGUUGUCCCCGGUUCAAGUCCGGGCACCGCUACCA
rnacentral:tRNA from 1 species